CAGUAGCCGCGGUAAUACGAAGGGUGCAAGCGUUAAUCGGAAUUACUGGGCGUAAAGCGCGCGUAGGUGGUUUGGUAAGAUGGAUGUGAAAUCCCCGGGCUCAACCUGGGAACUGCAUCCAUAACUGCCUGACUAGAGUACGGUAGAGGGUGGUGGAAUUUCCUGUGUAGCGGUGAAAUGCGUAGAUAUAGGAAGGAACACCAGUGGCGAAGGCGACCACCUGGACUGAUACUGACACUGAGGUGCGAAAGCGUGGGGAGCAAACAGGAUUAGAUACCCGGGUAGUCCCUGUCUCUUAUAC
rnacentral:rRNA from 1 species